GCCAAGGACAGUUCACAGGCUGACAGAGGUAAUAUAACCUCUCAAACUCGCCCCCAUGCUUGUGGGCCUCCUGAGCAGAAUGAGUCCAUGGUCUGCAAGUACAAAUAUUUUCACAACACUGACGCGUGCUCUCAUUUAUCUUCUGAGUCCUUGAUACUGUCAUCUGAAAUGUCCUCCAGUUAACCAAAGACAAACAUGCCUAUUUGUCAGGUUGUCCAAAACAGAUAUAAAACAUCUUUCAUUGAAAAAAACUGAGCACAGAUCUUGGUCCACAGGUCCCUUUAGAGCUGCUUAAGGUGCUGAUUCUACUCUGUGGCACUAUGAAUCCAGCCUGGUCCCUCAGUGCCUUGCUUCUCGGGUGUGUCUUUGGAUUCCCCAUCAGCUUCAACAGUACACACAAUGAUACAAGAAGUGAGAAUGACUGGAACACAAACGGAACCAACUCAACAGGGUAUGUGCAAUAUCUGAUUUGGCUAUAAACAACACCAUCAUGAUUACUACGUGAGUGCUUUGUCUUUUUUGUUUUGUUUUGUGUUUUUUGCUGUGACAAGCUGGGAAGCUUUCUUUACAUUAUAGUUUAUUGUAUAUUUCCGAACUGGUGGAGAGAAAUGUUAUGUUGAAUAAAUCACAUAAAUGUUCUUUUAGCAGGUUGUCUUUUGUUUUCUCCGAUGCUGGAAGGUAAGUUAGACAGUUUCUGCUUCUACAUCUACUUCAUCUAUAUACUUACAUAAAGAUUAGCUUUAAAUUAUAUUAUCUUUAUCCUGUUUUAUGGUUUCUUUGGUUUAUUUUCAGUUUUUUUGUUUCUCUUACAGUUAUCAUGGCCCAUCUGGGUAAGUACAAACUUGAUAUAUUUUAUUUUCUCCACUUUAAAGUGUCCACAUACUAAAAGUUACAUUAGCUUGUAUAAUUGUCUUGUAUUUCCAAAUUGAAUUUAUGUGCAGGUUCAUUUCUGAAAAUCAAGCAUGUACUGCUGCUGGAAACAUGAUAACGUUGUCUAAUGGAUAUACAGCUGAUUCUGAGAAGAUGCUUGCCAAUCAUCGUAGCUGUCUUUUUUUUCUUCUUCUUUUUAGUGCUGGAGGAUGCAUGCUACCCACCUGUGCACUAAGUAACCUGGGAAAUCUUCUGAGCUCAGGAGAUGAAAUAGCUGGCAGCUCAACCUCAGAUCCCCAUGGAAUCGGAAAAAAAUGAAUUACAGAGGCCUAGGAUGCAGUUGAACUAUUUACCUGCUGCUGUAUUGGGCUGUUAGACAGGGGAACUACACAUUUCUAUUUGAUGUCUAGUGUAAUGGUCAGUUGUGGUGUUGAUAAAUUGAUAAAAUGUA